rnacentral:rRNA from 1 species
UCCCUACGGGGCGCAGCAGUAGGGAAUCUUCCACAAUGGGCGAAAGCCUGAUGGAACAACGCCGCGCGGGUGAAGAAGGUCUUCGGAUCGCAAAACCCUGUUGUUAGAGAAGAAAGUGCGUGAGAGUAACUGUUCACGUUUCGACGGUAUCUAACCAGAAAGCCACGGCUAACUACGUGCCAGCAGCCGCGGUAAUACGUAGGUGGCAAGCGUUAUCCGGAUUUAUUGGGCGUAAAGGGAACGCAGGCGGUCUUUUAAGGCUGAUGUGAAAGCCUUUGGCUUAAACGGAGUAGUGCAUUGGAAAA